rnacentral:lncRNA from 1 species
CUUUAAGAAGGAUGGCUCAUGAUGCCCAGUUCUGAUGACAGAACCUGGAUAAAGACUAUUAAAAUGAACUCUGGUCUUGUCUGGGCCCCAACUGGCUGGGAUAUUGUGCUGCAUGCUCAGAUGGCAUUUUGAGACCCAGCCGUCCUUCUUGGAUUUCCCUCCAGCCAGAACCUCCAGCAAAAGUUUCUGUGGAGACAUUUCGCCUGCAGCUUAGAAUAUCUACUAUUUCUCCUGGAUGAGACUCCCACUCCAUAAGAAAAUCCUUCCCUGGAACAGAGGGCUGGGAGAAAGACAAGCAAUUACCGUUGCUUCCUAUAUUGUUUACUGAACUCUUUAAAACACAAGAAUCUAUUUUAAGAACAUGGGUCCUUAAUUUGGCUUGCUCACGGAAGUAUGGUAUGUCAUGGGACUACAAGAAGAUGAAAAUUCUACAGCAGUACAGCUGAACUUUUCCAAGAGCUCAGCACCAGGUUUAACCUUACUAUUAUCCACAGGAUAAUGGCCUCGAGCUGCAUCCGUGUUGCUGCAGAAGACAUGAUUUCAUUCUUUUUUACAGCUGCAUAGUAUUCCACUGUGUAUACAUACCACAUUUUCUUUAUCCAGCCCACUGUUGAUGGGCACCUAAAUUGAUUCCAUGACUUUGCUACUGUGAAUAGUGCUGCAAUAAACAUAUGAGUACAGGUGUCUUUUUGAUAAAACUACUUCUUUUCCUUUCAGUAGAUGCCCAGUAGUGGAAUUGCUGAAUCAAACGGUAGUUCUAAAAUAACUUUGAAAAAUCUCCAUACUGUUUUCCAUAGGGGUUGAACUUAUUUACAUUCCCACCAACAGUGUAUAGUGUCCCUUUUUCUCCACAUCCUUGCCAACAUUUGUUAUUUUUUCACUUUUUAAGAAUAGCCAUUCUAGCAUGUGUGAGAUGGUAUUUCGUUGUGGUUUUAAUUUGCAUUUCUCUGAUUAUUAGUGAUACUGAGCCUUUUUCAUAUGUUUCUUGGCCACUUGCUAUCUUCUUUUGAGAAGUGUCUCUUCAUGUCUUUUGCCCACUUCUUAAUGGUUGAUAUAAAUGGAUGUUUUUCACCUCCAAAUGUUGAAAUGUAAUUCCCAGUGUUGGAGGUGGAGCCUAGUGGGAGGUGUUUGGGUCGUAGAGGCAGAUCACUCAUGAAUGGCUUGGUGUCUGUCCUACAAUAAUGAGUUCAUGGAAGAGCUGGUUGUAUAAAAGAGCUUGGCAUCUCUCUCACUCUCUCUCUUGCCAUGUGACAUGCCUGCUUCCCAUCACCUUCCACUAUGAUUGUAAGCUUCCUGAGGCCUCACCAGAUGCUGGUGCCAUGUUUGUACGGCCUGCAGAACUAUCAGCCAAAAAAAACCUCUUUUCUUUAUAAAUUACCCAGUCUCAGGCAUUCUUUCAUAGCAAUGCAAAAUGGACUAACACCAUGGGGUUAUUUGUUUCUUUCUUGUUGAUUUGCUUAAGUUCCUUACAGAUUCUGGAUAUUAGUCCUUUGGUGGAUGCAUAGUUUGCAAAUAUUUUCCCCCUUUCUGUAGGUUGUAUUUACUCUGUUGAUUUUUUUUUUCUUUCGCUGUGCAGGAGCUCUUUAGUUUAAUUAACUCCCAUUUGUCAAUUUUUGUUUUUGCUGUAUUUGUGUUUGAGAUAUUAGUCAUAAAUUCUUUGCCUAGAUUAAUGUCUAGAAGAGUUUUUCCUAGCUUUUCUUCUAGGAUUAUUAUAGUUUGAAGUCUAACAUUUAAGUCUUUAAUUCAUCUUGAGUUAAUUUUUGUAUAUGGGGAGGGGUAGGGGUUCACUUUCUUUCUUCUGCACAUGACUAGACUGUUUUCCCAGCACCAUUUAUUGAAUAGCGUGUCCUCGCCCCAUUGUUCACUUUUGUCGACUUUGUCAAAGAUCAGUUGGUUGUAGGUUUAUGGCUUAAUUUCUGGGUUUCAUGUUCUGUUCUAUUGAUCUAUGUGUUCAUUUUUGUACCAGUACCAUGCUGUUUGGGUUACCAUGACCUUGUAGUAUAGUAUGAAGUUGGGUAAUGUGGUACCUCUGGCUUUGUUCUUUUGCUUAGGAUUGCUUUGGCUAGCCAGGCUCUUUUUGGUUCCAUGUGAAUUUUAGAAUUGUUUUUUUUCUAAUUCUGUGAAAAAUGAUGGUAAAUUAAUAAGAAUUCUGUUAAUUCGUAGAUUGUUUUGGGAAGCAUGGACAUUUAAAUGAUAUUGAUUCUUCCAAUCCAUGAGCAUGGACUGUUUUUCCAUUUGCUGUCUCAUCUGUGAUUUCUGUCAUCCAUGUAUUGUAGCUCUCCUCAUAGAGAUCUUUCACCUCGUUAGUCAAAUGUAUUCUUAGGUAUUUUAUAUUUUGUGGCUAUUGUAAAUGGGAUUGAGUUAUUGAUUUGGUUCUCAGCUUGAAUGUGAUUGGUGUAUAGAAAUGCUACUGGUUUUUGUAUGUUGAUUUUGUAUCCUGAACCUUUACUGAGGUUCUUUAUCAGGUCUAGGAGCCUUUUAGAAUAAUCUUUAGGGCCUUCUAGGUGCAGGAUCAUGUUGUCAGUGAACAGAGAUAAUUUGACUUUAUUUUUUCCUAUUUGAAUGCCUUUUAUUUCUUUUUCUUGCCUGAUUGUUCUGACUAGGGUUUCCAGUACUAAGUUAAAUACAAGUGGUGAAAGUGGACAUCCUUGUCUUGUUCCAAUUCUUAAGGGGAAUGCUUACAAAUUUUGCCCAUUCUAUAGGAUAUUAGCUGUGGUUUUUGUCAUGGAUUGUUAUUAUUUUGAGGUAUGUUCCUUUAGUGCCUAGUUUGUUGAGGGUUUUUCUCAUGAAGAGAUGUUGAAUUUUAUUGAAUGCUUUUUCUGCAUUUAUUGAGAUGAUCAUAUGGUUUUUGUUUUUAAUUCUGUUUAUGUGGUGAAUCACAUUUAUUGAUUUGUGUAUGCUGAAUUAUGUCUGCAUCCCAGAAGUAAAGCCAACUUAAUCCUGAUGAAUUGUCUUUUUGAUGUGCUGCUGAAUUCAGUUUGCUAGUAUUUUGUUGAAGGUUUUUGCAUCUAUGUUCAUCAGGAGUAUUAACUUGUAGUUUUCUUUAUCUGUCGUGCCCUUGCCAGACUUUGAUAUGAGGAUGAUACUGGCUUUAUAGAAUGAAUUGAGGAAGAAUCCCUCCUCCUCAAUUUCUUGGAAUAGUUUUAGUAAGAUUGGUACCAGCUGUUCUUUGUACAUCUGGUAGAUUUCCACUGUGAGUCCGUCUAGUUCUGGGCAUUUUUUGGUUGGUAGUUUUUUUUUAUUACUGAUUGAGUUUUGCAACUCAUUAUUGGUCUGUUAAUAAUUUCAGUUUCUUCCUGGAUCAAUCUUAGAAGUUUAUGGGUUUCCAGGAAUUUAUCCAUUUCCUUUAGAUUUUCUAGUUUGUGUGCAUAGAGCUGUUCAUAGUGGUCUCUGAGGAUCUUUCGUAUUUCUGCAAUAUUAAUUGUAAUGUCACCUUUGUCAUUUCUGAUUGUGCUUAUUUGGGAUCUUUUCUUUUUUUUUUUCUUGGUUAUUCUAGUUAGCAGUCUAUCAAUCUUAUUCAUCCUUUCAAACAACCAACUUUAUUUUUUUGAUCCUUUGUGUGAGGUUUUUUUUUUUUUUUGUCUCAGGUUCAUUUAUUUUUGCUCUGAUUUUAGUUAUUUCUUUUCUUCUGCUAGCUUCAUCAAAAAAGGUUAUCAUUGCAUGGUUAUAUGUAGCUAAAGGAACAUGAAGACAAAUAUGAAUUAGAACCACAAGGAUUUCACUCAUUACUUGUACGACCUUGGAUAAGUCAUGGUGUUGGCGAAAAUCAGUUUUCUUAUCUAUAAAAUAAUGCACUACAAGUUAUCUCACAUAGUGGAUGCUAUGAUGUGCUGUUCCGAUCUCCCCCUCAAGACCAAAGCAGUCAUUCCCCAUGCAGGAAGUAUUGGUGGCUGACAGCUCUCAGCUGAGUUCCUCCCCAGGAACUGCCCUUAGCCAGUUCCUUCCCUGAGGAACCCACAUCAAACAACUGGGCCAACUGGUUGAUGAAAGGAUAUAAAAGUCCAGUCCCCUUUUGCCUCAGUUUGCAACAGCUCUGAGGGUCAUUCUAGCUCCAGGGCUCCUCACUGAGUCAGCUGAGGACUUUGUUGCAACUGCAUCCGCAGCUCAACUUCUUCCUCUGCUCACUCUUACUUCCCUCACUCCCUCACAGGUAUUGAUUAUUUCAUGGGCACUCCUCCAUAAACUUUUCACACACAAAUCUCCAUCUCAGAGUCUGAUUUUUGAAAACCUGAGCAAAGAUACCUAAUAUGCCUUUUGAAUGUUAAAACAGCAGUGUAUAUAAAGUACAGUAUUUGCUAUAUUGUGAACACUCAAUAUUUGCUAUUCUCUUCUCUUCCUCAUUGUUUUGAUCUGUUUUUCUUUCAUUCCUGCAAGGAUACACAACCCAGGACUUUCCACAGGAGGCAGUGUCUCCCCUUUCACCUGAUCAAAACUCCUUUUUGCGCA